GCAAACUGGAGAUGGCGACCGGCGCACGGGUGAGUAACACGUAUCCAACCUGCCGAUAACUCGGGGAUAGCCUUUCGAAAGAAAGAUUAAUACCCGAUGGCAUAAUAGAACCGCAUGGUUUGAUUAUUAAAGAAUUUCGGUUAUCGAUGGGGAUGCGUUCCAUUAGGCAGUUGGUGGGGUAACGGCCCACCAAACCUUCGAUGGAUAGGGGUUCUGAGAGGAAGGUCCCCCACAUUGGAACUGAGACACGGUCCAAACUCCUACGGGAGGCAGCAUG
rnacentral:rRNA from 1 species